GAUGAACGCUGGCGGCGUGCCUAAUAGAUGCAAGUCGAGCGAACGGACGAGAAGCUUGCUUUUCUGAUGUUAGCGGCGGACGGGUGAGUAACACGUGGAUAACCUACCUAUAAGACUGGGAUAACUUCGGGAAACCGGAGCUAAUACCGGAUAAUAUUUUGAACCGCAUGGUUCAAAAGUGAAAGACGGUCUUGCUGUCACUUAUAGAUGGAUCCGCGCUGCAUUAGCUAGUUGGUAAGGUAACGGCUUACCAAGGCAACGAUGCAUAGCCGACCUGAGAGGGUGAUCGGCCACACUGGAACUGAGACACGGUCCAGACUCCUACGGGAGGCAGCAGUAGGGAAUCUUCCGCAAUGGGCGAAAGCCUGACGGAGCAACGCCGCGUGAGUGAUGAAGGUCUUCGGAUCGUAAAACUCUGUUAUUAGGGAAGAACAUAUGUGUAAGUAACUGUGCACAUCUUGACGGUACCUAAUCAGAAAGCCACGGCUAACUACGUG
rnacentral:rRNA from 1 species